rnacentral:rRNA from 1 species
GACGAACGCUGGCGGCGUGCUUAACACAUGCAAGUCGAACGGAAAGGCCCUGCUUUUGUGGGGUGCUCGAGUGGCGAACGGGUGAGUAACACGUGAGUAACCUGCCCUUGACUUUGGGAUAACUUCAGGAAACUGGGGCUAAUACCGGAUAGGAGCUCCUGCUGCAUGGUGGGGGUUGGAAAGUUUCGGCGGUUGGGGAUGGACUCGCGGCUUAUCAGCUUGUUGGUGGGGUAGUGGCUUACCAAGGCUUUGACGGGUAGCCGGCCUGAGAGGGUGACCGGCCACAUUGGGACUGAGAUACGUCCCAGACUCCUACGGGAGGCAGCAGUGGGGAAUAUUGCACAAUGGGCGGAAGCCUGAUGCAGCAACGCCGCGUACGGGAUGACGGCCUUCGGGUUGUAAACCGCUUUCGCCUGUGACGAAGCGUGAGUGACGGUAAUGGGUAAAGAAGCACCGGCUAACUACGUG